rnacentral:lncRNA from 1 species
CUGCGCCGGAGCGUGCGCCCCUCAGGAAGGGUGGCACCUCCCUCCGCUUCAGCACGGCUCUCCGGCUUCCUGGCUUUCCCAGUACUCUCCUGUCCAACUGCACGCUCCGGGCAGCGCAUGCUGCUCAAGGAGCUGCAAGGCAAGACUCGCCACAGCUCACUUCUGAGGAUUUCUGCUUUUUGAUAGCCCGUGUUGAAUCCUGCCAAGAAACAAGUUGUGGGCAGCACUCUACAAACAAACACGAUAGCAAAAUGGACAUCCACUGAAGUCAAACUGAUUUCCACGCUUAUUCGGUUUCAUUCAUCCUGUAUUUCUUCCGUGCAAGUUCAUUGGGAGCAGGGAGAAAGGAUAGAGGGGAAGAGAUUGAAUCAAGCUCAUCCAGCAAAACACAACACAGAUUGCGCUUUACCUCACAAUCGCUGCUGGAAGUUUCUGAUAUCAGAAUGAGGCCUGCUCUCCACAUUGCAAUGUUCAUUGUUUUAGAUGCAGAGCUUCUAUUCAUGGUUAAAGCUCCCAGGUUUCCCUACUGCAUUGGUAUAUCUAUGAGAUGUGCUUUCAUUCUUCUCAAAAGCUGGAACAAGAGAUAAGUGAAUGAUAUGACAAAGACUGCACCAUCCAUUUGAGAAUUCCUUUCUUAUACAGAGAUUCUUUUACUACAAGAUACAAUACCUGGACUAGAUGGUACGUGCUUUAAGCACAGAGAUGGAUACAUGCCCAAAUAACACUCGCACCAUGCAGGAGAUGAGUAUUUCCCAAGGGAACCUCUCUCUCCCUCAUUUUCUCUAGCAGUUAGCAUAAGUCAGGCCUAGUUGAC